rnacentral:rRNA from 1 species
UAAGUAAGCGGAGGAAAAGGAACUAAAUAGGAUUCCCUUAGUAAUGGCGAACGAACAGGGAUGAGCUCGGCUUGGAAACUGGGGCCUUGGCCUUGGAUUGUAGCCUCUAGACAUAGCACCAACGGAGGCGCAGGUGUAAGCCUCUUGGAAAAGAGCAUCAACGUGGGUGAGAAUCCUGUGUUUCAUCUGCAGUCCACCGUGCACGGUGCAUGUUCUCAGAGUCGCGUUCCUCGGAAUUGGAGCGUAAAGUGGGUGGUAAAUUUCAUCUAAAGCUAAAUAUAGGCUUGAGACCGAUAGCAAACAAGUACCAUGAGGGAAAGAUGAAAAGGACUUUGAAAAGAGAGUUAAAAGUGCUUGAAAUUGCUGAAAGGGAAGCGAAUGGAACCAGUCCUCUGGCUGAGAUUGCUGCAUGCUUUUGUGUGUGGUGUUUCUCAGCUUGUGAGUCAACCUUUGUUCAUGCUUGAGGAUAGCUUCAGGUUCACGACGCUUCCCCGCGGGGUUGCUCCUGUGCUUGGUGGGACUCAGGCGUGUACUUUGUGUGACAAAAUGGUUCUCUUCGACCCGUCUUGAAACACGGACCAAGGAGUCUAGCACAUGUGCGAGUUCACAGGUGGCAAGCCUGCUUGCGCAAUGAAGGUGACAGCUGGGAUUUCUGCACCAGCAACCGACCGAUCAAUUGAGAGAAGUUUGAGUAUGAGCAUAUGUGUUAGGACCCGAAAGAUGGUGAACUAUGCCUGUGAAGGGCAAAGUCAGGGGAAACUCUGAUGGAGGCUCGUAGCGAUACUGACGUGCAAAUCGUUCGUCAUACAUGGGUAUAGGGGCGAAAGACUAAUCGAACCAUC